rnacentral:rRNA from 1 species
CCCUAUUAUUUUAGAAUGUUAAUUUUUGUGCCUGAGUAGUAUUAGUUAUGUUCUUGAAACUUAAAGAAUUUGGCGGUAUCUCAUUCCGUCCAGAGGAAUCUGUCCCGUUAUCGAUAGUCCACGUUGGACCUUACUUAUUUGAUUUUGGUUUGUAUACCGCCGUUUAUUGAUUAUCUUUUUAGGGGUUAUUUAAUUUUCUGGUUUCUUUAUUUUGAUAUAUUUCAGGUCAAGGUGCAGCUUGUUUUUAAGUGGAAUGAUGGAUUACAUUGGUAUUUGUUUGUGGAUUGUCGGUUAUAAUAUUGGCAUGAAAUUGGAUUUGGUUGUAAUGAUUUGUAGAUUGUUAUUAUGAUAAUUGGUUCUGAGAUAUGUACACAUCGCCCGUCGCUCUCGUUUGUUUGCUAUAAUGAGAUAAGUC